AUGCAGGGAGGGAAAAGUUCAGAAGCAGCUACAGGGGACAAAAGCCCAUUUUUACUAGUUCAACAGGACAGGACAUUCAAUAAACCCAGCCCGCUCUGGAAACGGGUCGGGGCUCCAGUUGGCUCCACAGAGGCAGAAGUAGCCCCUGCCGCCGCCCUCGCCACGGCAGCCGCCGCCGCCGCGGCCCCUGCGUUACUGGGGGAGACGGUGCCGCUGCGACAGGGGAGGACGCGGCUGGAGCUCAAGGAGGCUCCAUCGCGCAGGCGCCGCCGAGCCCUGCCUGGAUGCUCAGUCAAGGCACUAAGGCAAAAAAAAAAUCAGCAAUUUAUAGAAAGAAGAAGCUAUAGUCUGUCGGGAUAUCCAACACCAACAGUAGGGCUUAUUGAGAGCUCCAUUUCUGGAAAGCGUUGCAAGACUGAGGAAUAUCGGACUGCGAAUCACCGGGAACAGUUCCCUUGCAGCACAGAAGCAAUCUCUCUCCCCAUCUUCGCAUAUUCUGAUGGCAAAUCAAGUGAAAGAAAAGAGGAAGCAUGACUGCAGAUCAGAUCCGUUCUCUUUGUGGAUUACAUUUUCAGUAAAAUGGAGCUGAGGCGCUGUUUCAGCACAACCCUUCUUUACUGCAGAAAAUCCAGGUUACCAAGGGAACCUUACUGUGUUAUAUGAAGGAGCAUCUGUAAAUCUUUAGCCUUGUGAAACACUAACCUUCUCUGCUAAGCAAUUGUGGCCUGUAGCCAUUUCUUGAGAAGAAAAUCAAGAAUGGGAUCAGCAGUUAUAAGGAUUUGGGCAACAUUCUGCAGUCUUUGCAAUAGUUCACCUAUAAUCCUAUUUUAAAUCUCAGAGUGAUCCUGCUGACUGCCAGCGAAGGUUUGUAAUUAAGAAAGGACUGAACCACUGCCCUGAGUUUCUUUAUGUGGUUGAAAACUAGAUAAUGAAAGUAGCAGGUGCUAAGUAUCAGUGCUAAAUGCUGUGUAUAUGACUACUUAUGAAAAAACAUCAAAAAAAAACCAAUUAGCAUUGGACAUCUUAAUAAAUUAAGUUGACAUGAGGUAAAUGUGUUGAUAAAAAACUAAUUUUAGAAGUUUGAAGACUAAAACAUUUCAUACUAUUAUUGUUUUGCAAGGACUAAAAUAUUUGGGGACUUAAAGUACUGUAAUUCACUAAAGACAUGCCAUGAAUUAAUUGGAUUAUCACUUUUAAAAAAUCACCUUGUAAGUUUUGGGGAGCAUUCCAAAGCAGUAUAUUGGUUCCAAUUAUAGUUUACUUUUUUGUAUUAAUACAAUACUAUUUCUAAAUACCGCUUUCCUUAUCUACUAGUGAAAUUGCUAGCAUCGAACUAUGUGGUUUUUGUUGAUUUGGUAUAAAGUUUUUUCUAAUUCAUCUAUAUUUUAUGAAUACUAGAUAUUGGUCUGGGAGGCAACAUUAAAGGUACCAACCAGUCACAAUUGAACAGUUCUAAUAAUGCAGAAUAAACACAUGUUGCCUUAAAGGGUUAUCUAGUAUCUUUCAUCUUAUUUAGUAUUGGAGCAAAUUGGAGUCAGGGGAAACUGAAUCAGUAACUGGUCAUGGUCAUGCAUCUGGAAGUGCAUGGACGAUCAUUUAACACUCUUUUUCCUUUUUCCUCACAUGAUUUCAAAAUUAAGGUGCACAUCACUGGAAUAAUGAAAUUUUCUUCUGAGGUGUGCUACCCAUUCUAGUGUGUUCUAAGAAGCAGGCAGUUGAUGUGUGUUUAUAUUUUAAGUCGGCUGUUAAGGGGAGACCACAGCCUUAGUAUGACAUCUUGCACAAUUUGUGAAGCGUUUAUUCUACCGAAGGCACAGUCUUGUUUAUACUUUCUGCACAUUCAGUGUAUUGGUCGUUUAAAUUAUUUCAGUUUUAACUUGUGAAAGCUUAUAAUAUAAUUUCUGGUAUUUUAGAAAUACAUUAGAGUCUGUGAGUCUCAUUCUUU
ensembl:lncRNA